UGGUACCACAAUGGAAACUGAGACAAGGUAUUGACUAUUGAAAAUUGAUGCCCCCAUUGGAAACAUUGGUUGCUUGUAGAUGUGGGUGCUUGUAGCUUAUCCACAGAUUUAGCUUUAAGGUUCUUAAUCAAAAUAACUCCAAACAAGGAAGGAGAACUCUUGUGCAAACCCUAUGUAUUUAAGA